UCCCAUUGGCGGGGUUCCCUAAAAAUGCAAGUCGAGCGGACAGAAGGGAGCUUGCUCCCGGAUGUUAGCGGCGGACGGGUGAGUAACACGUGGGUAACCUGCCUGUAAGACUGGGAUAACUCCGGGAAACCGGAGCUAAUACCGGAUAGUUCCUUGAACCGCAUGGUUCAAGGAUGAAAGACGGUUUCGGCUGUCACUUACAGAUGGACCCGCGGCGCAUUAGCUAGUUGGUGAGGUAACGGCUCACCAAGGCGACGAUGCGUAGCCGACCUGAGAGGGUGAUCGGCCACACUGGGACUGAGACACGGCCCAGACUCCUACGGGAGGCAGCAGUAGGGAAUCUUCCGCAAUGGACGAAAGUCUGACGGAGCAACGCCGCGUGAGUGAUGAAGGUUUUCGGAUCGUAAAGCUCUGUUGUUAGGGAAGAACAAGUGCAAGAGUAACUGCUUGCACCUUGACGGUACCUAACCAGAAAGCCACGGCUAACUACGUGCCAGCAGCCGCGGUAAUACGUAGGUGGCAAGCGUUGUCCGGAAUUAUUGGGCGUAAAGGGCUCGCAGGCGGUUUCUUAAGUCUGAUGUGAAAGCCCCCGGCUCAACCGGGGAGGGUCAUUGGAAACUGGGAAACUUGAGUGCAGAAGAGGAGAGUGGAAUUCCACGUGUAGCGGUGAAAUGCGUAGAGAUGUGGAGGAACACCAGUGGCGAAGGCGACUCUCUGGUCUGUAACUGACGCUGAGGAGCGAAAGCGUGGGGAGCGAACAGGAUUAGAUACCCUGGUAGUCCACGCCGUAAACGAUGAGUGCUAAGUGUUAGGGGGUUUCCGCCCCUUAGUGCUGCAGCUAACGCAUUAAGCACUCCGCCUGGGGAGUACGGUCGCAAGACUGAACUCAAAGGAUUGACGGGGGCCCGCACAAGCGGUG
rnacentral:rRNA from 1 species